AUUGAACGCUGGCGGCAUGCCUUACACAUGCAAGUCGAACGGUAACAGGUCUUCGGAUGCUGACGAGUGGCGAACGGGUGAGUAAUGCAUCGGAACGUGCCCAGUAGUGGGGGAUAGCCCGGCGAAAGCCGGAUUAAUACCGCAUACGACCUGAGGGUGAAAGGGGGGGAUCGCAAGACCUCUCGCUAUUGGAGCGGCCGAUGUCAGAUUAGCUAGUUGGUGGGGUAAAGGCCUACCAAGGCAACGAUCUGUAGUUGGUCUGAGAGGACGACCAGCCACACUGGGACUGAGACACGGCCCAGACUCCUACGGGAGGCAGCAGUGGGGAAUUUUGGACAAUGGGCGCAAGCCUGAUCCAGCAAUGCCGCGUGCAGGAAGAAGGCCUUCGGGUUGUAAACUGCUUUUGUCAGGGAGGAAAUCUUCUGGGUUAAUACCUCGGGAGGAUGACGGUACCUGAAGAAUAAGCACCGGCUAACUACGUGCCAGCAGCCGCCGCCG
rnacentral:rRNA from 1 species